GUCUUCUUGAUUGUUUAGGAGGUUUGGCCUGCCCAGUGAUGUAUUUAACGGCCGCGGUAUCCUGACCGUGCAAAGGUAGCAUAAUCAUUAGUCUUUUAAUAGGAGGCUGGAAUGAAGGGUUUGACGAAGUAAUGACUGUCUCAUUUAAAUGAUAUUAAAAUUUAACCUUUAAGUUAAAAGGCUUAAAUAUUGUUGGAAGACGAGAAGACCCUAUAGAGCUUUAUGUUUACGUUUUUGGUUUUAAUUAGCAUAUAAAAAUUAAUUAUAAUAUGUAAAUAUUUGGUUGGGGUGACAAGAAAUAUUUAAUUAACUUUUAUAUUUAUUUUACAUUAUUUUAUGGUUAUUAGAUCCAUUAUUAUUGAUUAUUAGAGUAAGUUACCUUAGGGAUAACAGCGUAAUCCUCUUUUGGAGUUCAAAUUUACAAGAGGGCUUGCGACCUCGAUGUUGGAUUAAGAUAAUAGCUAGGUGUAGUAGCUUAGUUUAUAGGUCUGUUCGACCUUUAAAUUCUUACAUGAUCUGAGUUCAGACCGG
rnacentral:rRNA from 1 species